rnacentral:rRNA from 1 species
UACGGAGGAUGCAAGCGUUGUUCGGAAUUACUGGGCGUAAAGCGUGCGCAGGCGGUUGUGCAAGACAGGUGUGAAAUCCCCGGGCUUAACCUGGGAACUGCACUUGUGACUGCACAGCUGGAGUACGGCAGAGGGGGAUGGAAUUCCGCGUGUAGCAGUGAAAUGCGUAGAUAUGCGGAGGAACACCGAUGGCGAAGGCAGUCCCCUGGGCCUGUACUGACGCUCAUGCACGAAAGCGUGGGGAGCAAACAGG